UGCCUAAUAAUGCAGUCGAGCGGACAGAUGGGAGCUUGCUCCCUGAUGUUAGCGGCGGACGGGUGAGUAACACGUGGGUAACCUGCCUGUAAGACUGGGAUAACUCCGGGAGACCGGGGCUAAUACCGGAUGGUUGUUUGAACCGCAUGGUUCAAACAUAAAAGGUGGCUUCGGCUACCACUUACAGAUGACCCGCGGCGCAUUAGCUAGUUGGUGAGGUAAUGGCUCACCAAGGCAACGAUGCGUAGCCGACCUGACGGGUGAUCGGCCACACUGGGACUGAGACAGGCCUCACUCCGACGGGAGGCAGCGUCGGGAAUCUUGGCAAUGGACGAACGUCUGACUGAGCGCGCGGCGUGAGUGAUGAAGGUUUUCGGAUCGUAAACUUCUGUUGUUAGCGAAGAACAAGUACGGUUCGAAUAGGGCGGUACCUUGACGGGUACAUAACCAAAAAGCCACGGCUAACUACGUGGCAGCAGCCGCGGUAAUACGUAGGUGGCAAGCGUUGUCCGGAAUUAUUGGGCGUAAAGGGCUCGCAGGCGGUUUCUUAAGUCUGAUGUGAAAGCCCCCGGCUCAACCGGGGAGGGUCAUUGGAAACUGGGGAACUUGAGUGCAGAAGAGGAGAGUGGAAUUCCACGUGUAGCGGUGAAA
rnacentral:rRNA from 1 species